rnacentral:rRNA from 1 species
UUGCUCUUCAACGAGGAAUUCCUAGUAAGCGCGAGUCAUCAGCUCGCGUUGACUACGUCCCUGCCCUUUGUACACACCGCCCGUCGCUCCUACCGAUUGAAUGGUCCGGUGAAAUGUUCGGAUCGCGGCGACGUGGGCGGUUCGCUGCCCGCGACGUCGCGAGAAGUCCAUUGGACCUUAUCAUUUAGGGGAAGGAGAAGUCGUAACAAGGUUUCCGUAGGUGAACCUGCGGAAGGAUCAUUGUCGAAACCUGCCCAGCAGAACGACCCGCGAACACGUUGUUAAAUUGGGGGGCGAGGGGCCUCCGGGCCCCGACCCUCCCCCGGCGCUGGCCGCGGCACUGCCGUGCGCCAGCGUCAAACGAACCCCGGCGCUAUCUGCGCCAAGGAAACCAAACGAACGAGCGCGCGACGGUCGGCCCGGAAACGGUGCCGUCGGAGCUGCGUCGUCUUCGAUAUGUCAAAACGACUCUCGGCAACGGAUAUCUCGGCUCUCGCAUCGAUGAAGAACGUAGCGAAAUGCGAUACUUGGUGUGAAUUGCAGAAUCCCGUGAACCAUCGAGUCUUUGAACGCAAGUUGCGCCCGAAGCCAUCCGGCCGAGGGCACGUCUGCCUGGGCGUCACACACCGUUGCCCCCCCCAAACCCCGUCGGGGAAGAAGGGGGGCGGAUGCUGGCCUCACGUGAGCCUCGCCUCGCGGCUGGCCCAAAUGCGAGAUCUCUGCUGCGAGCGUCGCGGCGAUGGUGGUUGUCGAAUAACUCGGUGCCCCGUCGCGAACGCCCCCAGCGUGCUGUCUCGGAACGACCCCUGCGCGCGGCCUCGCGCCGCGCUUCCAACGCGACCCCAGGUCAGGCGGGGCUACCCGCUGAAUUUAAGCAUAUCAAUAAGCGGAGGA